GUGUCACCACGGACAGCCACCAGCUGUACGGCCUCUUCAUGGGCCACCUCUCCUUCUGCGUCUUCGAGUGGGACGUGGAGGAUGUGGCCCAUGUACAGGAGGCACCACCUCCACUGGAUUCAGAACCCUCCAGGUGUACAGCUGUACAGGGGCAGGUGACCAGGGGAGGGGUCAUCCUGCCCGUGUAUCACUGUGCACGUGGUUCCACGUCCCUGGAGUCGUUCCACCUGCACCCGAACCGCUUCGUACCUGCAAAGUCCCUCUUUCUCUCUCUCUCUCACUUUCUGUAUGCAUGUCAGCAUUGUUUACUAAAAGCCUCCUUUCUUUGACUGCUGCAGGUACAAGUGCAUGUUCCCUGCACUUUCAGGCAUACUUGCUUGAAGGGUUGGUGAGGUGGAAUGAGGACUCUGCGGCAGCAGCAGUGGAGGGAAGCAAUCCUACUCGGGUCUGCUACAGUGGCCAGCUACGGGUCUGCUACAGUGGCAGCACUAUGCCAUCCAGCUGAGCCAGCAACUCCUUGGGCUCCAGCUGGCUGAUGACUACACUACACCUGAAGAGUAUACAAGUGAACUCAUCGAGGUGGAGGGACCUAUACUCUCAGACCAGCGCAGUGCUGCAUGAGGACCUCGACAGGGAUCCAAACACACUGGAUGGGCUUAACAAUGAGGACCUUCCAGAGCUGAGAGGACGAGGACUUUGAGGAUGUGAGCACAGUCUCAAACCAUUGCCGCAUCUCCAUUGUUCUGCAGUGGGACCACGUUCUCUGGCUGCCUUGUCGUGGACCUGUCGGACCCAGUCGAUUCCUCCAAGGUGCAAUUCUGGACCGACCAAGGAAACCAUCCCUGAUGGCCAGGAGAGCCUGGGACCUGGUGGUGUUCCAGGCUACCAUCACACCGCGCCAUAGAGACUGACUGGUCAAGGGCCAGUUCUGUCAGUAAUGCUGCCUUCAAGUCAUGUUGGAAACAUUGUAUUUAAGAAAUGAGCACACAAGAAAGCCACCAGGUUGUAUUUACUAGUGGGAAACUCGAUAAGGCCUGACUUUCUGAGUUUAGGGUGUGUCAGUAAUAACGCAUAAUGGAGGCUGCCAGUAUGGAUGCUGCUCCCACAGGAGAUGCUAAAAGUUAUGUUGAGGAUGAAUAGUAACAAAACUAAUCAGAAGAACCCUGAAAGUGUUGCCUUGUGCAGAUAUUUUUGUGUUAUUUAUGUACAUUCAUUCAUUUGUUUCAGUAUAUUCAUUUUCUUUC